rnacentral:rRNA from 1 species
UACGAAGGGGGCUAGCGUUGUUCGGAAUCACUGGGCGUAAAGCGCACGCAGGCGGAUCGUUAAGUCAGGGGUGAAAUCCCGAGGCUCAACCUCGGAACUGCCUUGAUACUGGCGAUCUUUGAGUCCGGGAGAGGUGAGUGGAACUCCGAGUGUAGAGGUGAAAUUCGUAGAUAUUCGGAAGAACACCAGUGGCGAAGGCGGACUCACUGGCCCGGUACUGACGCUCAGGUGCGAAAGCGUGGGGAGCAACAGGGAUU